UGCUUAAGUUCAGCGGGUAUCCCUACCUGAUCCGAGGUCAAAAGUUGAAAAAAAGGCUUAAUGGAUGCUAGACCUUUGCUGAUAGAGAGUGCGACUUGUGCUGCGCUCCGAAACCAGUAGGCCGGCUGCCAAUUACUUUAAGGCGAGUCUCCAGCAAAGCUAGAGACAAGACGCCCAACACCAAGCAAAGCUUGAGGGUACAAAUGACGCUCGAACAGGCAUGCCCUUUGGAAUACCAAAGGGCGCAAUGUGCGUUCAAAGAUUCGAUGAUUCACUGAAUUCUGCAAUUCACACUACUUAUCGCAUUUCGCUGCGUUCUUCAUCGAUGCCAGAACCAAGAGAUCCGUUGUUGAAAGUUGUAAUUAUUAAUUUGUUACUGACGCUGAUUGCAAUUACAAAAGGUUUAUGUUUGUCCUAGUGGUGGGCGAACCCACCAAGGAAACAAGAAGUACGCAAAAGACAAGGGUGAAUAAUUCAGCAAGGCUGUAACCCCGAGAGGUCCAGCCCGCCUUCAUAUUUGUGUAAUGAUCCCUCCGCAGGUUCACCCUACAACUUAAAGGAAUUGACGGAAGGGCACCACCAGGGGUGGAGCCUGCGGCUUAAUUUGACUCAACACGGGGAAACUCACCAGGUCCAGACACRAUGAGGAUUGACAGAUUGAGAGCUCUUUCUUGAUUUYKUGGGUGGUGGUGCAUGGCCGUUCUUAGUUGGUGGAGUGAUUUGUCUGCUUAAUUGCGAUAACGAACGAGACCUUAACCUGCUAAAUAGCCCGGAUUGCUUUGGCAGGGCGCCGGCUUCUUAGAGGGACUAUCGGCUCAAGCCGAUGGAAGUUUGAGGCAAUAACAGGUCUGUGAUGCAA
rnacentral:rRNA from 1 species